rnacentral:ncRNA from 1 species
AAUCAAAUUUCGUAUACUCGUAUAAUAGCAGGGAUAUGGCCUGCAAGUUUCUACCGACUUACCGUAAAGAAGUCGACUAUGAGUGGCAUGGUUAAA